AGGGCACACAGACGCGUGAGCAUGUGCUAUUGACUCACGCGGGAAAUCUACCGGGUCCGGACACACUGAGGAUUGACAGGCAAUAUCUCGUUUAAACGAUUCGUUUAAACGAUUUGUUUAAACGGUCUUAUUAAACGAGUGUUAAAUAUGCUAGUCCUUUCAUGAUUAUGUGAUAGGUGGUGCAUGGCCGUUCUUAGUUCGUGGAGUGAUCUGUCUGCUUAAUUGCGUUUCACUAAGGGCCCAUAAAUACAAGGUAUAUUAGCUCUCGUCGCUCUAUGGACCCCUUAGAUUUAAUUAUUUAACGCGUGUGUCCUAAUAACAGAGUUUGUUUUAUUACAAUUAAAGACAAUGCGUAUGCUGUUGGGCUCUGAAAGCAACGAACGUGACCGCAACGUCUUGUUGCCUUAAUCAAGUCAGUCGUGUGUUGUAUUUAAUAUACGCUCGCUGACAUAGCUAAGGCAAAUUAAAACUAGACGAACCGCUGUUUCUUUUCUUAAACCAGAGGAAGGUUGCGGCAAUAACAGGUCUGUGGUGCCCUUAGAUGUUCCGGGCUGCACACGUGCUACAAUGAUCAGUACAGUGAGCAUCUCAAUUACAAUACACCGUCUUUAAUAAGCGCUUAAACGCGGUUAAUGGGUCGCUUUUUGUUAAGCGGACCGUUUAAUCGACUAUGUUUAAUGUGCGCGGUAAAGCCUGCUUCGAGAGUAAGCGGGUAAUCCAUUGGAAGUAAUGAUUUCUCUAUAUCUAGUGCACAACUAUGCACGGCACUCAUUCCCGAGACGGCUAGUUCCGUCUUUUAGUGUGAAUGUAUGUGUUAUUCAAACGUGCGUGCAAUUGUCAAUUCAUGGUGGGGACAGACCAUUGUUAACUGUUGGUCUCGGUCUUAACUAGGAAUGCCUUGUACGGGUCUUUGGUUCAACAAACCACCCGGAAUACGUCCCUGCCCUUUGUACACACCGCCCGUCGCUCUUACCGAUGGACUUUAUUGUGAGUCUAAGGGACUGGGUUAAACCGUCUGUUUAUUUAUUUAAAUCGGAUGGCAGUACCUAUGGAAACUUAUGCGAACAAUGUGGUCUAAAGGAAAGAGAAG
rnacentral:rRNA from 1 species